rnacentral:rRNA from 1 species
AGCGCAGGCGGUUCGGCAAGUCUAAAGUGGAAGCCCGGGGCUUAACCUCGGAAGGGCUUUGGAUACUACCGAGCUCGAGUUCGUGAGAGGAAAGCGGAAUUCCAGGUGUAGCGGUGAAAUGCGUAGAUAUCUGGAGGAACACCAGUGGCGAAAGCGGCUUUCUGGCACGAUACUGACGCUGAGGCUCGAAAGCGUGGGUAGCAAACG